rnacentral:rRNA from 1 species
UACGGGGGGAGCAAGCGUUGUUCGGAUUUACUGGGCGUAAAGGGCGCGUAGGCGGCGCAACAAGUCACUUGUGAAAUCUCCGGGCUUAACCCGGAGCGGCCAAGUGAUACUGUCGUGCUAGAGUGCGGAAGGGGCUACUGGAAUUCUCGGUGUAGCGGUGAAAUGCGUAGAUAUCGAGAGGAACACCAAUGGCGAAGGCAGCACUCUGGGACGUGACUGACGCUGAGACGCGAAAGCGUGGGGAGCAAACAGG